AACGCAGCGAAGGGCGAUAAGUAAUGUGAAUUGCAGAAUUCAGCGAAUCAUCGAAUCUUUGAACGCACAUUGCGCCCGCUAGUAUUCUGGCGGGGCAUGCCUGUCCGAGCGUCAUUUCAACCCUCAAGCCCCUCCGGGGGGCCUGGCGUUGGGGGAUCGGCCCCGCUCCGGCGGCCGGCCCCGAAAUGUAGUGGCGGUCUCGCCGCUGCCUCCUCUGCGUAGUAGAAACACCUCGCAUUGGGACGCGGCGGGCCCACGCCGUUAACCAGAUGAAUUUUUUCAAGGUUGACCUCGGAUCAGGUAGGACUACCCGCUGAACUUAA
rnacentral:rRNA from 1 species